rnacentral:lncRNA from 1 species
GAGCCGCCAUGAACAACUGGGUUUUGAUUAGAUAAAGUUUAGCCUUCGCUACUUGCUUGUAAACGCGUGUGCUGAUCCAGCCGCCCGUCUACUUGUUUUCGAAACCCCACUUCAUUAGAGAUUGAGUUUGAAACCUUCAUUUACAUCUAGUAAUUUAGUACUUGUUCUACUUGUUCUUGCUGGUUCUUCGAUUGCUUGCAGGACGAGUGCCCUAGUGGCCGGGUGUUGCGCUCCACAAGAUCGUGACAGCCAUUGGAGGCGGUGUAUCGGUUGCUAAGGUGCGGCCUUAGAAGGCUGUAGUCGGGCCGUGAACGUCAUCUCCAUUCACUAAUCGAGUUAUCCAGCGCCUCUCAUCGAAAGAUCGGGCGAAAACCCUAGUGGGUUCACAUCAGUUGGUAAUCAGAGCAAGGUUUAUCGGUGAGAGAUUUCCAAUUCUUCGUGUUUGUUUUUCCUAUAGUCCAAAAAAAGACAAAAAAUAUAGCAGAUUUGUUUUCCAUAAUCCUAUAAAUCCUUUGUGCCGUGGCUAGUACUACUUAGUUAGGGCUGGUUGAAUGAGUGUUUGCUUCGGUCGUGUCCAGUGCUGGUUUUAGUUUAGUCCUUUAGAGUUUUGAGUUCUUGUCACCAUCUAGUCACAGCUGCGUCCAAUCUAUUGUGGGUUGGAAUUUGAGUAGAUCUUGAUAAUAGGUGCAGCCACUUGUUGGUCUAUUCUGUGUUUCCAUCAACGUGAUCCAAAAGGAAAGAUAGCACUUCAUACUUGUGCUAGAUAUAUUGAAUUUUGAGGUUCAGCCUUACUCUAGUGAGAGGGUGAGAGUGGUGAAGUGAUAUUUUGUACUAUUUUAUUUAUAUAAUCAGGUUUUGAGGUUCCCCAAAAAAAAAGAAAAGAGAAAAAAAAAGAAAAAAAAAGAAAGAAAGAAAAAUCAAAAAAAGGGGAUUGUUGUUCCUUUUGUUUCCAGUAGGGCUGCUCAUUUUGUUUCUAGUGGUGUGCUGUGUUUUCCCUUUGUGUCCAGGCUCGCGUCUCUAGCACGGUCU